AUGUUGAGUUCAUCGGUGUCCUUAAAGGUUUCACUACCGACCACUGCACAAAUAUUCUGCAGCUUGUUUCUCCCGUUUAAAUCUGACUUUGCACUCUUGCUGGUUAUUCCUGCUACUUAUCGUGGCCAAUCAAAUCACGGUUCCCCGUGUUUUAGAUGCCGACACUGUGAUGCAGCUUUCUGGUGGGAAGAAAGAAUCCAUAAAGAUCGUAGUUGGCUGAAGAGAAAUUUUGAGUUCAACCGCUGCAGUGCUGGUCAUGUUAGAAUCUCAGCCUUCCAGCUGCCUCCCCUAGUGCUUUCAUGGUUGAUGCAGUUCAAUGGAGACCAGGACAGCCAUGAAUUCAUGAACCACAUAUGA
rnacentral:rRNA from 1 species